AACGAACGCUGGCGGCAUGCCUAACACAUGCAAGUCGAACGAAGCCUUCGGGCUUAGUGGCGCACGGGUGCGUAACGCGUGGGAAUCUGCCCUCUGGUUCGGAAUAACAGUUGGAAACGACUGCUAAUACCGGAUGAUGACGAAAAUCCAAAGAUUUAUCGCCAGAGGAUGAGCCCGCGUAGGAUUAGCUAGUUGGUGUGGUAAAGGCGCACCAAGGCGGCGAUCCUUAGCUGGUCUGAGAGGAUGAUCAGCCACACUGGGACUGAGACACGGCCCAGACUCCUACGGGAGGCAGCAGUGGGGAAUAUUGGACAAUGGGCGAAAGCCUGAUCCAGCAAUGCCGCGUGAGUGAUGAAGGCCCUAGGGUUGUAAAGCUCUUUUACCCGGGAUGAUAAUGACAGUACCGGGAGAAUAAGCCCCGGCUAACUCCGUGCCAGCAGCCGCCGUAA
rnacentral:rRNA from 1 species